rnacentral:rRNA from 1 species
UAAUACGUAGGUGGCAAGCGUUGUCCGGAUUUAUUGGGCGUAAAGCGCGCGCAGGCGGUCCUUUAAGUCUGAUGUGAAAUCUUGCGGCUCAACCGCAAGCGGUCAUUGGAAACUGGGGGACUUGAGUGCAGAAGAGGAAAGCGGAAUUCCACGUGUAGCGGUGAAAUGCGUAGAGAUGUGGAGGAACACCAGUGGCGAAGGCGGCUUUCUGGUCUGUAACUGACGCUGAGGCGCGAAAGCGUGGGGAGCAAACAGGAUUAGAUACCCUGGUAGUCCACGCCGUAAACGAUGAGUGCUAAGUGUUGGAGGGUUUCCGCCCUUCAGUGCUGCAGCUAACGCAUUAAGCACUCCGCCUGGGGAGUACGGUCGCAAGACUGAA